rnacentral:rRNA from 1 species
UACAGAGGGUGCAAGCGUUAAUCGGAAUUACUGGGCGUAAAGCGAGCGUAGUCGGUUAUUUAAGUCGGGUGUGAAAGCCCCGGGCUCAACCUGGGAAUUGCAUUCGAUACUGGAUAGCUAGAGUUCGGCAGAGGGAAGCGGAAUUUCCGGUGUAGCGGUGAAAUGCGUAGAUAUCGGAAGGAACAUCAGUGGCGAAGGCAGCUCGCUGGGACGUUACUGACGCUGAGACGCGAAAGCGUGGGGAGCAAACAGG